rnacentral:sRNA from 1 species
GUAGGAUUAGUUGUUAAGCUAGACUCAUGUAUUUAAUAAUGAUGACUUUAAAGAGCGCCAGGUUCCAUUAAGUGCAAUCCUCUUUAGUUUCACUUGAUAAAUGCAAAAUUUUUGUGCAAAAGCACUGGAGGUUUCACUUAUGGAACAUGGUACAGUAAAAUGGUUUAACGCAGACAAAGGUUACGGUUUUAUCACAGCUGAUAGUGGUACAGAUGUAUUCGUACAUUUCUCAGCUAUCCAAGGCGACGGCUACAAGUCAUUAGACGAAGGCCAGAGCGUUAACUUUGAUAUCGAACAAAGCGACCGUGGACCACAAGCUUCAAACGUUACUAAAAACUAAUUUUAGUUAUUAUGUAACUUUAAGGGUUGUUACUCAUUUAUUUGAGUAACAACCCUUUUU